rnacentral:misc_RNA from 1 species
UCAACCAUCAAGCCUGGCUUGUCGUUGGACCCAUUUGCAGCUGAAAUAUGCGGCAGGUCCGAAAGAUAAUGACGGCGUCGUGUUUGACCCUAGAUGCAACGAGCUUUUUAUAGCACGCAUUGAAGUGGUUGACCGACCCGGUCUUUAACCAUCAUUUUUCUAA